rnacentral:sRNA from 1 species
GGCAGGUGCAGCUGCCACAGCGAGACCGGCACCCUGACCCUGGCAUGGAGAGGGGCAAGGGGCCCAGGCUCAGAGACUUCCUGAGUGGGAGUCUGGCUACCUGGGCGCUGGGACUGGCCGGGCUGGUCGGGGAGGCGGAGGAGUCGGAGGGGGAAGAAGAGGAAGAGGAGGAAGAGCCGCCCCUUUGGUUGGAGAAGAGAUUCCUGCGCCUCAGCGAUGGGGCCCUGCUCCUCCGGGUGCUGGGCAUCAUUGCCCCCAGCUCCCGAGGGGGACCUCGGAUGCUCAGAGGCCUUGACGGACCUGCUGCCUGGCGAGUGUGGAACCUGAACCACCUGUGGGGCCGACUGAGGGACUUCUACCAGGAGGAGCUGCAGCUGCUGAUCCUGUCGCCACCCCCAGACCUCCAGACAUUGGGAUUCGACCCUCUCUCAGAAGAAGCGGUGGAGCAGCUGGAAGGCGUUCUUCGGCUACUGUUGGGAGCGUCAGUACAGUGUGAGCACCGGGAACUCUUCAUCCGCCACAUCCAGGGCCUCAGUCUCGAGGUCCAGAGCGAGCUGGCCGCUGCCAUCCAGGAGGUGACCCAGCCGGGGACCGGCGUGGUGCUGGCACUGUCUGGGCCAGAGCCUGGGGAGCUGGCACCUGCCGAGCUGGAGAUGCUGUCCCGGAGCCUGAUGGGGACACUGUCGAAGCUGGCACGGGAGCGUGACCUGGGGGUCCAGCGGCUGGCUGAACUGCUGCUGGAGCGAGAACCCCUCUGCUUGAGGCCUGAGGCUCCCUCUAGGGCUCCCGCUGAGGGCCCCUCGCACCAUCUGGCCCUGCAGCUGGCCAACGCCAAGGCUCAGCUGCGGCGUCUGCGGCAGGAGCUGGAGGAGAAGGCCGAGCUGCAGCUAGACUCCCAGGCCGAGGUGCAGGGUUUGGAGGCCGAAAUAAGAAGGCUCCGCCAGGAGGCCCAGGCGCUGUCGGGACAGGCCAAGCGGGCCGAGCUGUACCGCGAGGAGGCAGAGGCGCUGCGGGAGCGGGCCAGCCGCCUGCCCCGCCUGCAGGAGGAGCUGAGGCGCUGCCGCGAGCGACUGCAGGCGGCUGAGGCCUGCAAGAACCAGCUGGAGGAGGAGCGGGUGCUCUCAGGGGUGCUGGAGGCCUCCAAGGCGCUGCUGGAAGAGCAGCUGGAGGCUGCCCGAGAGCGCUGCGCCCGGCUGCACGAGACCCAGCGCGAGAACCUGCUGCUGCGGACCCGGCUGGGCGAGGCCCAUGCGGAGCUGGACUCUCUGCGGCAUCAGGUGGACCAGCUGGCUGAGGAGAAUGUGGAGCUGGAGCUGGAGCUUCAGCGGAGCUUGGAGCCACCUCCAGGAUCCCCUGGGGAGGCACCCCUGGCAGGAGCGGCCCCCUCGCUGCAAGAUGAGGUGAGGGAGGCAGAGGCUGGGCGGCUUCGGACACUUGAGAGGGAGAACCGGGAGCUUCGGGGGCUGCUUCAGGUGCUUCAGGGGCAGCCAGGGGGCCAGCACCUCCUGCUGGAGGCGCCAAGAGAGGACCCUGUGCUUCCGGUGCUGGAGAAGGCUCCCCAGACUCCUGUGGCCUCCGACCACAGCCCUCAGGGCUUGGUUCAGAAGGCAAGCGAUGGAGGCCCCCAGGCCUUGGACUUGGCUCCCCCAGCAUUAGACUCAGUGCUCGAGGGGUCAGCUGAGUGUCCCCAGGCACCUGAUUCAGACCCACAGGAGGCAGAGAGUUCCCUUCAGACAGCUGCCAUGGACCCCCAGGCCUCAGACUGGUCCCCCCAAGAGUCAGGCUCUCCUGUGGAGACACAGGAGUCCCCGGAGAAGGCUGGCCAUAGAUCCUCUCUCCAGAGCCCUGCCUCUGUGGCCCCACCUCAGAGUCCAGGGACCAAAAUUCAGGCCCCGCAGUUACUGGGAGGAGAGACCAACGGAAGAGAGGCUCCCCAAGGUGAAUUGGUGCCUGAGGCCUGGGGGUUGAGACAGGAGGGCCCUGAGCACAAGCCAGGGCCUUCGGAGCCCAGCUCUGUGCAGCUGGAGGAGCAGGAGGGCCCAAACCAGGGCCUGGACCUGGCCACGGGACAAACAGAGGCCAGAGAGCAUAACCAGAGGCUGGAAGGGACGGUCGGGGACCCAGCCUGGCAAAAACCACAGCAGAAGUCAGAAGGGGCUCUUGAGGUCCAGGCCUGGGAAGGCCCAAUCCCAGGCGAGAGCCUGGCCAGUGGUGUCGCAGAGCAGGAGGCCCUCAGGGAGGAGGUGGCACAGUUGAGGAGAAAGGCUGAGGCCCUUGGAGCUGAGCUGGAAGCCCAGGCCCGCAAGCUGGAGGCCCAAGACACGGAGACUGCCCGCCUCUCCAAGGAGCUGGCCCAAGCGCGAAGGGCAGAGGCCGAGGCCCACCGGGAGGCAGAGGCCCAGGCCUGGGAGCAAGCCCGGCUGCGGGAGGCAGUGGAGGCUGCCGGCCGGGAGCUGAAGGCUGCGUCCCAGGAACGGGAGGCGCUGGUGGAGGCGCUGGCAGCAGCGGGCCGGGAGAGGAGGCAGUGGGAGCGUGAGGGGUCCAGGCUGCGGGCCCAGUCGGAGGCCACCGAGGAACGGAUGCAGGCGCUGGAGAGCGAGGGCCGCCAGCACUUGAAGGAGGCUGAGAAGGAGCGCCGGGAGAAGGAGGCCCUCCAGGCGGAGCUGGAGAAAGCUGUGGUGCGGGGCAAGGAAUUGGGGGCCCGGCUGGAGCAUCUGCAGCGUGAGCUGGAGCAGGCGGCUCUCGAGCGCCGGGAAUUUCUGCGAGAACAGGAAAGCCAGCACCAGAGGUACCAGGGCUUGGAGCAGCGGCUGGAAGCUGAGCUGCAGGCGGCGGCGACCAGCAAGGAGGAGGCGCUGAUGGAGCUCAAGACCAGGGCCCUGCAGCUGGAAGAGGAGCUGUUCCAGCUGCGCCAGGGCCCCUCAGGGCUGGGGCCCAAAAUGUGUGCGGAGCCUCGGCUGGUGGAGACCCAGAACGUGCGGCUUAUCGAGGUGGAGCGCAGUGUGAGUGUGGGCCCACAGUGGGCCCUGGGGAGGUGCCCCCUGCAGUGUGAGUGUGGGUCCACAGUGGACCCUGGGCUGGGGGGUAUCCCGUGCAGUGUGGGUGUGGACUCAGGCCCGGGGGUGGGGGUGCCCCAUGCAGUGUGAGUGUGGGCCUGUGGUAGGCACUGGGGGGUGCCCCCGCCACCUGGCUACCGCUAACCCCCACUUCUGGGCAGAAUGCGACGCUGGUGGCAGAGAAGGCAGCUUUGCAGGGGCAGCUGCAGCACCUGGAGGGGCAGCUGGGGAGCCUGCAGGGCCGUGCCCAGGAGCUGCUGCUGCAGAGCCAGCGGGCGCAGGAGCACAGCAGCCGCCUGCAGGCCGAGAAGUCUGUGCUGGAGAUUCAGGGCCAGGAGCUGCACCGGAAGCUGGAGGUGCUGGAGGAGGAGGUGCGGGCGGCACGGCAGUCCCAGGAGGAGACCCGUGGGCAGCAGCAGGCCCUGCUUCGGGACCACGAGGCCCUGGCACAGCUGCAGCGGCGGCAGGAGGCCGAGCUAGAGGGACUGCUGGUGCGGCACCGAGACCUCAAGGCCAACAUGCGGGCACUGGAGCUGGCCCACCGGGAGCUGCAGGGCCGGCAUGAGCAGCUGCAGGCCCAGCGGGCCAGCGUGGAGGCACAGGAGGUGGCCCUGCUGGCAGAGCGUGAACGCCUGAUGCAGGAUGGGCAUCGGCAGCGGGGCCUGGAGGAGGAGCUGCGGAGGCUUCAGAGCGAGCACGACAGGGCUCAGAUGCUGCUGGCAGAGGUGUCUCGGGAGCGGGGUGAGCUGCAGGGUGAACGCGGGGAGCUACGGGGCCGGCUGGCGCGGCUGGAGCUGGAGCGGGCACAGCUGGAGAUGCAGAGCCAGCAGCUGCGCGAGUCCAACCAGCAGCUGGACCUGAGCGCCUGCCGGCUGACCACGCAGUGUGAGGUGUGGCUGGAGGGCCGGCGGGGUUAUGGGCGUGGGUGGGGGUGCAGAAAGCCUAGACCCAGGUGGUCCUGAGCUGGGUCCCACCCCCCAAGCCAUGCUGCCCCCCUGCCAGCUAUUGACACAGCUGCGAAGUGCCCAGGAAGAGGAGAACCGGCAGCUGCUGGCUGAAGUUCAGGCCCUGAGCCGGGAGAACAGGGAGCUCCUGGAGCGCAGCCUGGAGAGCCGGGACCACCUGCACCGCGAACAGCGGGAGUACCUGGACCAGCUUAAUGCCCUGCGCCGCGAGAAGCAGAAGCUCGUGGAGAAGAUCAUGGACCAAUAUCGCGUGCUGGAGCCUGGGCCCCUGCCCCGGACCAAGAAGGGCAGCUGGCUGGCAGACAAGGUGAAGAGGCUGAUGCGGCCCCGGCGGGAGGGGGGCCCCCCUGGGGGGCUGCGCCUGGGGGCCGAUGGGGCUGGCAGCACCGAGAGCCUGGGGGGCCCCCCGGAGACGGAGCUUCCUGAGGGCAGGGAGGCAGAUGGGACAGGGUCCCCUUCCCCAGCACCCAUGCGCCGGGCCCAGAGCUCCCUCUGCCUGCGGGAUGAGACCUUGGCAGGCGGGCAGCGGCGGAAACUCAGCUCAAGGUUCCCGGUGGGGCGAAGCUCUGAGUCAUUCAGCCCUGGGGACACCCCUAGGCAACGAUUCCGACAGCGCCGUCCAGGCCCCCUGGGGGCACCCAUCUCCCACAGCAAAGGACCUGGUGUGGGAUGGGAGAACUCCGCUGAGACCCUCCAGGAGCACGAAACAGAUGCCAGCCGAGAGGGCCCCGAGGUACAGGAACCGGAGAAACGUCCCCUCACCCCGUCCCUCAGCCAGUGACGCCGUGGGGACAGCAGGCUUGGGAGUGCAGCCUUCUCGGCACUGGAGUGUCAGCGGAGGCCCCAGGCAGCCCAAGAGCUCAGGGAGCCAGGGCCCCCAAGGGGAGUCUUUGGACAAGGAGGCCUGGGCCCUGAGAUCCUCCACGGUCAGCGCCGGGGCCCGGAGAUGGAGCCGGGACGAGUGUGUGGACAGGGGGGACGGCUGGCCCCCACGAGCAGCUCCAGGCCGGGGUUCUGCUUCUUCCAGGUGGCUCCCGCUGAGGCAGCGGUCUCUGGGGGAUCCCCCAGCUGAAGGAGGCCGGCAGGAGUUGGCAAGAGAACCCCCUGCCCUGUCCAGGUGGAGAGCUGAGUCCCAGUACUGGGGGACUGUGGCCUGGGCUGAUCUUGAGCCUUAACUGGACAUGAGGGACAUGAGAAUAAAGCUGAACUGC